GGGGCGGCGGGGUGGGAGGGAGGAGUGAGGGGGAGCAGGACUUGCGCCCUGCUCCACUCCCCCCUCCACACACACACACACUCACCGACUCUAAAAUAAAAAAUUAUUUGGGGGUGGGGGGCAAGAGUGCUCCAGGACGCUGCAGCCCAGAGCCGGGGAGGCGCGGGCAGAGGGAAACCAGGUAGAGUGGGUCCCGGACACCCUCCUCCAUGCGCACACCCACUUCCCCUCCCCGCCAGCGGACGCCGAGGGCCGGAGUGCAAGCCCCGAGCCCGCAGCAGCGUUCGGGAAACUUUGCCCAAGGAAAGCUAGGAAAGAAAAAAUCACCCGAAGUUGGGAGCUGAGCUUCCAAGUUAGAGCUAGGCAGCGGGUGAGGGGAGGCGGGAGGGAGCGCGCGCGAGAGCGAAAUCCAGCCCAAGUUUGGAGGGUCGCCGGUCCGGAAGGCCAGCUCCCGGGCCUGAGGGAGCAGAAGCCGCCUGGAGAGAGGGGGUUGGGGCGAGGCGGGCGGCGCAGGCCUGGGCUCAAGGGCCGAGAGCGCGCCCCCAAGGCCAAGUCAGGGACUCGGGAUCUGAGCGACCUAACUAGCGAUCGAGUCUGAAUGCUACCCCCAGAAGCCCUAAGUCCCCAGCUCCCAGGGGUCGCAGAAAGAGAGGCCGAGAUACAAAGACCGAGAAGCCCGAUUCCGGGUGCGUUCCAGUCCCCAGAGGGGAGCACCCGGGGCCGGGGCUCGAGGCACCCAGGCGUCCACCUCGGAGCAGUCGCCGGCCCGAGGACAAAGCACUUGAUCCCAAGAUCCCCAGUCUCUGGGAACCUGCUCCCGGCGCUGCGGGAGGUCCUCCAGCCUGAUUCCAAGGAGGGACACACCCCCUCCCACUCGGGGGCAAAUGCAAAAGCACUGAGCAAAGGGAGAGAAAAUGUUUCUUACGGACAGAACACAAUUGUUCUUUAGCUGUUACUCGAAGAAAGAGAAAAUGGGAAAAGGAAUGAAACUGACUGGCAGGAGCAGCCGGGAGGCCACGGUGGUGAGGCCCUCGGGUCACGGCCGCGCUGCCCAGGCGCCAGCAGCCACCGCGCACACCCGGGAGCCCGAAGACCCCUCUAUCCUCUCUGCAGCCCUUCCCUGGAAAUUAGGAAAGACCUGUUGGAAAUAAACCCCUGUCUCUUUAAUGCACACACGCGCGCGCGCUGCCGCUGUCAAAAAGCGGGCUUCACUCUGGCGUGGGAUACUUUCAGUUUUACGUAAAAUGUACAGCAACAGCACCCCCUGCGAUUGGAAAGUUUAUUCAGAAACGUGCUGCAAAGUCCCCUGGCGUCUCCCGCCUCCCAGCCUCCCAGCCUGCCUGCACCACCCUGCAGCCGCCGCAGUCGCCGCCGCCGCCGCCGCCGCAGCCAGGGAGACCGCUCUCCGAGUCCAAAUCUAGCAGCGCCCGGGCGGGGGCGGGGGAUGGACAGAGCCCCCGGGAGGCGCGGAGGGCGCAGGGUGGAGAGCCGAGCUGCAGGUGGACAUCUGUGAGUCUCUACAGAGCCAGGAGCCUUCCUCCCCUCUCCUCCAGCGGCAGCACCCAGCAUCCCUCCUCCGAGAGGUGUCGUUUCCGUAAAUUCACCCACCCGGCGGGGGAUUGUAUUGUUUUAAGGCAGGGCCCUGUGCUUGCACACGCUCGCCCACCUCCCAGCCUCACCGGCUUGUGGCUGUUUAUUCCUGUGUCUUAGGAAAGUUUCAAACCCAUUAGAAAAUGGCUUGCCUGAUUCGGCGAAGCUUCGGGCCCCUCUGAGGAAGAAACACAGGUUUUGAUGCCCAACGUUAGGAAAGCUGUGGGCUAGACUGGGGGGGUUGGGGAGCGUGUUAUUUCCCUCUAUCUGGUUUUCCUUGGCGGGGGGAUCUCACAUUCUGUUUGAGGAGGAGGAAGACUUUAUUGCUGUAACUGCAGGACACCGUUUCCCCUUUUCACUGAGUUCUUCAGAGCUGGUCAGCACCUCUUCCUCGGCUUUUUUUUUUUUUUUUUUUUUUUUUUUUUUCUUGUUAAAUCAGCCUUAGAAUCACCAAGUGAAUGUCGCUGCAGGGGGUAGCAGGGGGAGGCAGGACACAGAGGUGGACCUCUGGUGGGUAGGUGAGAUGAGAGGGGAAGAUAAGUGGAGCCUGGAGGCCUCGGAAAUAAACAAAUAAAUAAAUAAUAAAUAAAUGCCCCUGCAGGUAACAAUAGUGAGCCAGGCUUGUUCAGGACCGGCUGGGCAGAUUUGAAUCUUGUUCUCAUCCAUAAAAGUCCAUGCAGAAAGGAGAUGGACAAACUGUGCUGUAGAAAUAUAUACUGUAUAUGUGUGAUUUAUAUAUAAUGGCGUGUAUAAAGCUUUUCAGGGUUGGCGGUAGUGUAAAAAGUAAUGACUUUAUUACCUCUGAAAGGUUCUGUGGUUCACUUUUAACAGUCUUCUGAAUUACAAUUCAUUACACAAUCGUGUGCUCUCUAAAACCGGCACCCUAUCAGGGCCGCUAUCUGUGGUUAUUUCCAAUAAAUAACUGGCAGCAUUUUAUUGAUUUUCUUUUUUUAAAAAAAAAUCAUAGGAAAUUAAGCACUUAGUUACAAGUAGGUCUGCUAUGUUAUUGCACUUGUUUCAGAUUCCAGGGGGUUCCUUCGGAAGCCACAUCUUAAAACAUACAUUAAAAAGCCAGCUGCAGCUGCUUGCCCUGGGUGCCAGUGCAGAGAGUUGGAACAGAUAAAAGGAAAUUAAACCUGCACACAAAAACAAUCCAGUUCAGUGGGCGCUGGGGAAUCUGGAUUACAGCCAUCAAAGCAAGCCUGGACUUCAGACACCCCACUUUGCCUGUGGACUCUCCUCGGCCUUCCUCCAACAUCCCAGCCCUCCCAGUUUGGUUAUUUUUACUAUCCGUUUCAGGACGAUCUUCACAGUCAGAGCAAGGCAGAGGGCUGAGGAAAUGACCCCAUCGUUUCAGCAAUGAGCCUGCCUUGAUCGGCAUCACCCAGAAAGUUGGUAGCCUGUCUGUGGAGCUCUCGACCUCAGAGACAUGGAGAAAGAAAGGGGAAGGAAUUGCUGACCACUACCAGACAGAAUUAAUUAGAAAUAGCUCUGAGUAUUAAAGGAUCUCAUCUUUUCCCUACUCAAAAUCCAAACAAGCACCCAUGACUGUAUGUGAUGAAGGGCUUUGCAACCCACCUGCUCUGGACCUUUUUGCUACAGAAAGUGAACUGUUAGGGAAGGACAGUGCACAAACAGCAGUCGGGGACAGACGUCCUCUUACAGAACCCCAGCAUGUGUGUUCUGUCACGCACCUUCUAGACCCUCACUAUAACCAUUCAAUCUAUUGAGUCACGAGACUGUUUGAUCUUAUCUGCAAUUGUGAGCUGACUGACAACCUGCUUGGGCUGCAUAUUAAAUCGUCUAUAGUAGCUGUAUCAAGCUGAGAUGAUCUGUUAAUUCUAAAUUUAUUAACCCUUGGAGUGCAAUCAUCAUGUUUAAUCUAGUGUAGCCCACAUUUAUGCUACAAGACUAAAUCCUUCUUUAAGAUAUGGUGUUGUUGUGGGUUAGAAACAGCUAACAUGGGUUUCCUUAUGAUAAUCAGGGGAGAGUGACUGAAAACACUAGGGUGGUUACUGGGGCAGGUUGGCCCCAGCAUCUACCCAAAAUGAGCUUCGUCUGAAAGAAGAAAGUUCUCUCCAGAAGCAACUGUCUCUAAAAAAGAAUGCAAGAAAGAAAGAGAAACGGAGAGAGCUUCUGACAGACAGACAGACAGACAGACAGACAGAGAGAAAGGCUGAGUGCCCUGGCCAUGUCACCUACAGUGUGACAGAUGCAGAAUGUAUCUCCAAAGGUACACACCCAGCCAAAACCACCAACAAAAUUCCUGAUUGGAAUAACUUCAGGAUCUGUGAGGGUCACCUAUUCUGGAUUGAAAGAUUUUUCACCCCUUUCCCCCAAAGAAUUCUGAGCAAUUCAAACUACAAGCAGCUCUGCAAAAGAAAAAAAAA